UGCCCUUGGGAAAAUAACUCCUUUUUUGUUUGUUUGUGAAAGGAUAUGUGAAGAUGAAAAGUGAUAAAAUAUACCCUACUAGACAUGCAAAACAUUCUUAUCGAAUUCAGCAUGGUUCUACACAUCCUUGAGAAUAACUGUUUUGUGUUCAACAUCCAAGAGAAUACAAAGGCAGUCUGGGAAUUAAAGGAGAGAAGGAUCUACCCCAGAAGAAAGUAGGAACGUAGUCCCCCACUACCACAAAUUACGCAGUAGAUUUUCCCACAUUUGGGGAAAUCACGAGGAUCAGCACAUCUGGAGUGCAAUGGAUAAGCCUCGCCCUGGGAAAACCACCUUCGUGAUCAUGUAAAAAAAAACCGUAAUCUUUGUUGUAAUGCUUGUAGGAUAAGUAGAUAAAGUUAGGAUCCUGCAGACGAUGGAAGGCUUAGUGAUGGAGCUGAAUAAUGACGAAGGGCUGAAGAGGAACCAUGGAGAAAUUCCAGGAGUUGUAAAUUUGUAGACUUGUCUCAUUUUCCCUCUGGAGAUAUUGAUUUGCAUUCCGAAGGGUAAGAACCUGAAGUCUUUAGCUUUCUCUUCCCCAGGAGAAUUUGUUUACAUUAGAGAAAUUAAGUUUUUCUCCUUCUUUCAGGAGGUGAAGGAGGCAAGGUGUAUACAAUGUGCCAGAUUCACAUUUUCAGGAUUUCUUUCUUACAAUACAGACCCUAGCACAUGUAAGGUGACACCUGGCUCUCAUCACAUUGCCCUAGAAAAGAGAAGAAUUGAGCCAAAGAGGAAUCAACGUAGUUAUUGCUAUAACAAUAAUAAUCUUUCCUUGCCCCAGAAAACUUGGGUCUACUUUCAAAAUAAUAGGUAUAAAUGUACAUAUUAGAAACUCAUCACAUAAUACCC